UGGUUUUCAAUAUAAAUAACUAGAGACACGCAACAAAUUGAUCAAGCUUAUACAUCACACCUUACUUCUUCCAUUAUGAUGAGGUUGAAAGUUGUGGUUCCCCUUGUUUUUGCCUUUGUCAUCAUAGCUACGGAAUGCAAUUAUGAAGUGGAUGUGCUGUAUGCAUGGAGGCUUGAGCUGACAGAUCCAAAUAAUGUGCUUCGGAGUUGGGAUCCGACACAAAGAAAUCCCUGCCCCUGGUUUCAUGUAACUUGCAACUCCGACAACAGAGUGGUGAGAGUGGACCUCGGCAACGCUGGACUGUCUGGGUCGCUUGUGGCUGAGCUGGGAGGUUUGACUUAUCUUCAAUAUCUGCAAUUGGAGGGAAAUAAGAUCAGUGGAAGAAUACCAAGCGAGCUGGGCAAUUUGACAAAUCUCAUCAGUCUUGGGCUAUCUCAAAAUAUACUAAGUGGACCCAUCCCAGUAUCUCUUGGCAACUUGAGAUCCUUGAGAUUCAUGAACUUAAACAGCAACAAAUUAAGUGGGAGGAUCCCAGACACCGUAAUUCAACUGAUCAAAUGGGGUCAAUUGCAGACUCUGUAAGAAUGUUUCGGACAAUCAAUUGGCGGGGACUACCCGCCUUACGAAUACAACAGGAUUUCAAAUCACGACUAUAAUUCAAGAUCCAAAAGCCUAGACGGACUGCUGAGCCGGAGGCUUACGUCUUGCGAUGCAACAAGUGCUUCAAUCUGUGUGCUGGCAAUGUUAUGAUACAUAAACAUGCGUAUAAAUAAUUUUGCAAGGAAUUAAUAAUGGAAGCCUCACUGUUACUUGGUGGCUCUUACUCUUGGAGAUAAUGUAAUGUCUCAUCAAACUAAACUAGUAAAUGUGACACUAUGUAUGUGUAUAAUUUUUUAAAAAUAUUUAAAAUAGUAAAAUUAA